UAGGGAAUCUUCGGCAAUGGGGGGAACCCUGACCGAGCAACGCCGCGGGAGUGAAGAAGGUUUUCGGAUCGUAAAGCUCUGUUGUUAAGGAAGAACGAGUGUGAGAAUGGAAAGUUCAUACUGUGACGGUACUUAACCAGAAAGGGACGGCUAACUACGUGCCAGCAGCCGCGGUAAUACGUAGGUCCCGAGCGUUGUCCGGAUUUAUUGGGCGUAAAGCGAGCGCAGGCGGUUAGAUAAGUCUGAAGUUAAAGGCAGUGGCUUAACCAUUGUAGGCUUUGGAAACUGUUUAGCUUGAGUGCAGAAGGGGAGAGUGGAAUUCCAUGUGUAGCGGUGAAAUGCGUAGAUAUAUGGAGGAACACCGGUGGCGAAAGCGGCUCUCUGGUCUGUAACUGACGCUGAGGCUAGAAAGCGUGGGGAGCGAACAGG
rnacentral:rRNA from 1 species